AUAGAUCUUAAUAAAUAUAAUAAGUUAAUUAUGUUAAUAUUAAAUUUUUAAUUUUUAUGUAAUUUAUUUAAUUGGGGUGGUUUAAAGAUAUAUAAAAUUCUUUAUUGAGUUUAAUAAUAUGAUUAAUUAAAUGAUCCAUAGUUAUUGAUUACAAGAUUAAAUUACCUUAGGGAUAACAGCAUAAUACUUUUUGAGAGUUCAUAUUAAAAAAAGUGAUUAUGACCUCGAUGUUGGAUUAAGAUUUGUGUUGGGUGAAGAUGUUCAAUUAACUAGGUCUGUUCGACCUUAAAAAUCUUACA
rnacentral:rRNA from 1 species